AAAGAAUGAAAAAAGCGAGAGAAAAGAGGGAAAGAGCGAAAUGCAAAUGGAAAAAGGGGUGCCCUGAAGGAAACCCGAGCGCGAAACCCGAGGU